rnacentral:rRNA from 1 species
UGGGGAAUAUUGCACAAUGGGCGCAAGCCUGAUGCAGCCAUGCCGCGUGUGUGAAGAAGGCCUUCGGGUUGUAAAGCACUUUCAGCGGGGAGGAAGGCGAUAAGGUUAAUAACCUUGUCGAUUGACGUUACCCGCAGAAGAAGCACCGGCUAACUCCGUGCCAGCAGCCGCGGUAAUACGGAGGGUGCAAGCGUUAAUCGGAAUUACUGGGCGUAAAGCGCACGCAGGCGGUCUGUCAAGUCGGAUGUGAAAUCCCCGGGCUUAACCCGGGAAUUGCAUCUGAUACUGGUCAGCUAGAGUCUUGUAGAGGGGGGUAGAAUUCCAUGUGUAGCGGUGAAAUGCGUAGAGAUGUGGAGGAAUACCGGUGGCGAAGGCGGCCCCCUGGACAAAGACUGACGCUCAGGUGCGAAAGCGUGGGGAGCAAACAGG